rnacentral:rRNA from 1 species
AGUCACUGACAUUAGAUACCCCCGUAGUCCAGGGUGUAAACGCUGCAGACUUGGUGUUGGAGGCCCUUUGGGGGCAUUCAGUGCCGGAGAGAAGUUGUUAAGUCUGCUACUUGGGGAGUACGUCCGCAAGGAUGAAACUUAAAGGAAUUGGCGGGGGAGCACCGCAACGGGAGGAGCGUGCGGUUUAAUUUGGAUUCAACACCGUAAAACUCACCAGGGAAGACUGUUACAUGAAGGCCGAGAUGAAGACUCUGCUAGAUUUUCAG